rnacentral:rRNA from 1 species
GUCUGGCCUGCUCACUGAUAUUUUUGAAGAGCCGCGGUAUUUUGACCGUGCAAAGGUAGCAUAAUCAUUAGUCUCUUAAUUAGAGGCUGGAAUGAAUGGCUUGACGAGAAAUCAACUGUCUCUUAAUAAAUUUUAGAAUUUAACUUUUGAGUCAAAAGGCUUAAAUUUUUCUUUAGGACGAGAAGACCCUAUAGAGCUUGACAUUUUAUUUAUAUAUAAUUUUAGGUUAGUCUUUUUAUAUUUAAUGCUAAUGUUUUGUUGGGGUGACAUGAAGAAUUAAUAAACUCUUCAUUAUUAAAUCAUUAAUUUAUGUUUAUUUGAUCCAUAAUUUAUGAUCAUAAGAUUAAGUUACCUUAGGGAUAACAGCGUAAUUGUUUUUGAGAGCUCAUAUCGACAAAGCAGAUUGCGACCUCGAUGUUGGAUUAAGAAAAGUUCCGGGUGCAGUAGCCCGGUAAUUAGGUCUGUUCGACCUUUAAAUUCUUACG